UGGAUGCCGCAGCCGCCGCGGUCAGCGCUUCCUCCUGUGUCUUCGCUGCGCGCUGCAGGUUCCCGCGGCCUAGGCGUCAGGGAGGUGACCCAGGAGCCCGUGGGAGGAAGAGAAGGAGGAGAAGGGGGUGGAGAGUGGAGGGGACCGGAGCCUGAGCGUGGAGGCCGCGGCCGAGCGGGGCGGAGAAGCAGAGAAGGCGCCGCGCCAGCCCCUCCCCCGCCGCCGACCCGCCCCGGCGGCCUCCGUGCCGCCCGCUGCGCCCGCCCCGCGGCCAUGCCGGGGCCUCGCCGGCGCUGAGGAGCGUCGCCGGCCCGCCGUGCUCCGCGGCCUCCCGGGCCCGUCGCCCGCCCUCCCUCACGCCACGCGCGCCGGCCGCCGCCUCUCCCUCCGCCGGGCCCCGGGGCCUCUGCGCAGACAACAUGGAGGCCGUGAAGACCUUCAACAGCGAGUUAUAUUCGCUGAAUGACUAUAAACCACCCAUUUCUAAAGCAAAAAUGACCCAGAUUACAAAAGCAGCCAUCAAAGCUAUUAAGUUCUAUAAACAUGUGGUACAAAGUGUUGAGAAAUUCAUUCAGAAAUGUAAACCAGAAUACAAGGUACCUGGACUGUAUGUUAUUGACUCCAUUGUGCGACAAUCCCGGCAUCAGUUUGGUCAAGAAAAGGAUGUGUUUGCACCCAGAUUUAGUAAUAACAUCAUUAGCACUUUCCAGAAUUUAUAUCGUUGCCCUGGGGAUGACAAGAGUAAAAUAGUAAGAGUAUUAAACUUAUGGCAGAAGAAUAAUGUUUUUAAGAGUGAGAUUAUCCAGCCUCUUCUGGAUAUGGCAGCAGGGAUUCCUCCCCCCGUUGUCACCCCUGUUUUGGCCAGCACCACGGCAGCUAUGAGCAAUACUCCAGGAACACCUGUGACACCUGUUACUCCAGCUAAUGUGGUCCAAGGCUUACCUGAUCCAUGGGUGUCUCAGAUAACAAACACAGACACCCUGGCAGCUGUUGCUCAGAUCUUACAGAGUCCUCAAGGUCAACAGCUUCAGCAGCUAAUACAAACCUUACAGAUACAACAACAAAAGCCCCAGCCUUCCAUCCUGCAGGCCUUGGAUGCUGGUCUUGUGGUUCAGUUGCAAGCACUCACAGCACAGCUUACAGCCGCAGCUGCAGCAGCCAACACGCUUACACCCUUGGACCAGGGUGUCUCUUUCAACAAGAAGUUGAUGGAUAGGUUUGACUUUGGGGAAGAUUCUGAGCAUAGUGAAGAAUCCAAGAAGGAAAUGCCUACUCCUCAACUCUCUCACGUUUCCGAGUCUGUGAACAACUCCAUCUUCCAUCAGAUAGCGGAGCAGCUGCAGCAGCAGAACCUUGAGCAGCUGCGGCAGCAGCUCCUGGAGCAGCAGCAGCCUCAGAAGGUAACUCCUCAAGAUAGCCAGGAGGGAACAUUUGGGUCCGAGCACUCAGCUUCUCCCUCACAAGGAAGUAGUCAGCAGCAUUUUCUGGAACCUGAAGCAAAUUUAGAUGAUUCCAUAGACAUUCAGCAACAGGAUAUGGAUAUUGAUGAAGGGCAAGAUGUUGUUGAAGAGGAAAUCUUUGAACCAGAAGCUAAGAAAGUAGCUGUUCGCUCAAGAUCAAGAACUCAUUCACGAUCUCGAUCAAGGUCACCAAGAAAACGAAGGUCCAGGUCACGAUCUGGGUCUCGAAAGCGAAAGCACAGGAAGCGAUCUCGCUCCCGCUCGAGAGAAAGAAAGAGAAAAUCAUCACGCUCAUAUUCAAGUGAGAGAAGAGCUAGAGAGAGGGAGAAAGAACGACAGAAAAAGGGAUUGCCUCCUGUCAGAUCAAAAACACUAAGUGUGUGCAGUACUACUCUCUGGGUUGGCCAAGUGGAUAAGAAGGCUACACAGCAAGAUUUAACCAACCUUUUUGAGGAGUUUGGACAAAUUGAAUCCAUUAAUAUGAUUCCACCCAGGGGCUGUGCGUAUGUCUGUAUGGUUCAUCGACAGGACUCAUUUCGUGCUCUUCAGAAACUGAGUUCAGGAUCCUACAAAAUUGGUUCCAAGGUCAUUAAGAUUGCUUGGGCUUUGAACAAAGGUGUAAAGACAGAGUACAAGCAGUUCUGGGAUGUGGAUCUUGGAGUCACAUACAUACCCUGGGAAAAAGUUAAGGUGGAUGACUUGGAUGGCUUUGCAGAAGGAGGCAUGAUUGACCAGGAGACUGUAAAUGCUGAAUGGGAAACUGUGAAAACCUCAGAACCUGCUAAAGAGACAGUCCAGACAACACAGAGUCCAACUCCAGUGGAAAAGGAGACAGUGGUCACAACGCAGGCAGAGGUUUUCCCUCCCCCUGUUGCUAUGCUGCAGAUUCCAGUAGCACCAGCGGUUCCUGCAGUUAGUUUAGUUCCACCAGCAUUUCCCGUCUCAAUGCCGGUCCCCCCUCCUGGAUUCAGCCCAAUCCCUCCACCUCCUUUUCUGCGAGCAAGUUUUAACCCUUCACAACCACCUCCUGGUUUUAUGCCACCUCCAGUUCCCCCGCCUGUGGUACCUCCCCCUGCAAUACCACCAGUAGUACCAACAUCUUUAGUGCAACCACCAUUGUCCAUGGCCCCAGAAACUGUGAAAGAUGUUGGAUUUGGUAGCCUUGCUCUACCAGGUGGCUCUGUUGCCAGCAGUCUUGCUCCUUCAACUCUGCCAGCAGGGAACGUUUUUAACCCUCCCAGCAAAGCAGAGCCUGAAGAAAAAGUACCUCACCUUACAGAGCACCAGAUUCCUUCUGGUGAGAAUGCCAGACCAGUGAUUCCAAAUGAUAUUCCAAGUAGUGCUUCGAUGUUAGCACAGCCGCCUGGGCCCUCAAGUACCUCUGGGAUCCUGUGCGUGCAGAGACCAAAUGUAUCAAGUAAUUCUGAAAUUCUGGGGGUUCGGCCAGCUAAUGUUUCUAGCAGUCCUGCGAUUAUGGGAGCCCAGCCACCAAAUAUUCUAAAUAACUCUGGAAUUUUGGGCAUACAGCCACCAAGUGUGUCCAGUGGCUCUGGACUUCUCGGGGUUCUGCCUCCAAACCUGCCUAGCAACUCUGGACUUGUAGGACUACAGCCACCAAAUGUUACAAAUCCUGCUGGACUUUUAGGACCACAGCCACCGAUUGGACCUCAGAACUUACCCCCAUUAACUAUCCCUGCUCAAAGGAUGCCUGCAUUGCCAAUGUUAGACAUUCGUCCAGGACUGAUACCACAGGCUCCUGGACCAAGAUUCCCUUUACUACAGCCUGGAAUACCCCCACAGCGGGGUAUCCCUCCCCCAUCGGUACUUGAUGCAGCUCUUCAUCCACCACCCCGUGGACCUUUUCCUCCAGGAGAUCUUUUCAGUCAGCCAGAAAGACCAUUUCUGGCUCCUGGAAGACCAACUAUAGACAACGUUCCCAAUCCAGAUAAAAGAAUACCACUUGGGAAUGACAAUAUUCAGCAGGAAGGGGAUAGAGAUUACCGCUUUCCUCCUAUAGAAACCAGGGAGGGCAUUAAUAGACCUCCUCCAGUGGAUGUUAGGGAUGUGGUUGGGCGACCUAUAGAUCCCAGAGAAGGCCCUGGAAGGCCUCCAUUAGAUGGUAGGGAUCAUUUUGGAAGACCUCCUGUGGACAUGAGAGAGAAUCUUGUGAGGCCAGGUCUAGAUCAUCUUGGUCGACGAGAUCACUUUGGCUUUCCCCCAGAGAAACCUUGGGGACAUAGAGAUUUUGAUGAGAGAGAGCAUCGAGUUCUGCCAGUCUUUGGUGGUCCAAAAGGCUUACAUGAAGAAAGAGGUAGAUUUCGGGCUGGAAAUUACCGAUUUGAUCCUAGAAGUGGUCCUUGGAACAGAGGAUUUGGGCAAGAAGUUCACAGAGAUUUUGAUGACCGCAGAAGACCCUGGGAGAGGCAGAGGGAUAGGGACGACAGAGAUUUUGAUUUCUGCAGAGAAAUUAAUGGAAAUCGUCUUGGACGAGAUAGAAUUCAAAACACUUGGGUUCCCCCUCCUCAUGCUCGGGUUUUUGAUUAUUUCGAAGGGGCCACUUCUCAACGAAAAGGUGAUAACGUGCCUCAAGUUAAUGGUGAAAAUCCAGAGAGACAUGCUCAGCCACCGCCUUUACCAGUACAGAAGGAGCCUGAACUCUAUGAGAAACUGGCGUCUUCAGGUGACCUAGACAAGGAGGAGAGCGGCACAACUGCUGGUGUAGAAAGUGGAGCGGUGGUAGAGAGCACAGAGACUGAGGGGACAUAACGUCGCUCAGUAGGUAAAAGAAACCUUUCGUACAGUUGUCAUCUCUGUAAGAGGUUAAUGGCUGACUGCACCACAGUUGUUCACGUUUAUCUGCCAGAACUAAGUUAAUCUGAUGUUCAUGUUCACCUUUCUCUUAAAAUAAUUGUACAACUGACUUGUAUAGACAUUGUUCUUAAUAUGAACAUGGUAGGUAAACAUUUUUUUAUUUUUCUGAUAAAGUAUAAAUGUUGCCCCAGAUUCUUUUAACGUCAAGGAGAUGCUAACAGCUUGUCAGAGACUUCCUAUGGAAGAGAGGGUUUUAGACGCUGUCAUUGGGUGGGUGUGGCAGUGAUGACAUAUUUCAGGACAGCAAGGUGUGGCACAGCUUCUCCAUAUCUCUAGGCUGCUGCAGGAUUUUAAGGUGACAGACAAAGCUGUGACAUUUUAUGCAAGGACUGGCUCUAGAUUCUUGAGGAGCAUAAUACAGAGAUUUUAAAAAGUGAUUUUGUAAAAAUCUCCACUAUGGUCUCUGUUACUCCAAAGUAAGUGUGUGUGGUUUGUUCCUCAUACUGCAGUAAGUGGAAAAAAAAAAAGCAAACAACGUUUCAAUGUUGGGUGAAUUUUGUUUUUAGAUGCCAAUAAAACUUAUUUGUUUGAUAACAGUGUUCUAGGAAUUGUAUUUUUUUAAUCUACAAAUUCUUAAAACUGAAUGUUAGUAGCAUGCACUUAGCUGUGGAAGUUUCCCAUUACCCUUUAACAACGAAGAAGAGUUGUGUGGUGAUAAAAGCCUGUACCUUGAUAUAAAAACCAUACAGUCUGAUUAAUAUGUACUCAAUAUCUAUGUGUAUUUAUUGUAUAAGCCAUGUAGUUUUUCUUUCUCUGUAUGUGUCUCUCUCUCUAUGCUUAUACAGAGAAUUUUUUUUUAAAGUUUAAUGCAAUACUUUUUAAUACUUGAUAGAAAAUUGGAAACAUUGGGUAAAUUAACAUCGCUCGAGGUUAUAGCUUUUAAUCUUGAUAAAUGUGAAGAAAUUAGAAAGAACUAGAUCAGCCAAGAGGCACUUUUUCAGGGCUUUGUUAAUAAGCACAAAGCCAAAUGUAACACGUAUUUCACAUUAAGUGCUCUAAGUUUUCACACGCUAUUUGCUGUUGUGUGUAGACGACACUGUCCUUCAGGAGCUUAGCUCACAUGCCUGCUGUGAGUACAUCUUGCACAAAAUGUGUCCUGGUGUUGAUAGCUCAAGUGAUUUUACAGAGCAGAAAUCAGGUGUCCACCAUGUGUUCUGUAGGCUCUGGGUCACAUCGCUUAGACGAGGCUCUAUGGUAAACAGACGAGAAGAAUUUAGGGGUUUACUUUCUGUUGCUCUUAAGUUUUAUUGAUUUACUGUUUUUCUUUUGAGUUCUCUCCAUAUACAGUAUAUACAUGGGGGAAAGCCAUUGGUGUUUCCCGUGGAAAGCUUUCAUACGAUUCUGUGAGCAGUCAUUUCCUUUCCUUUGCAUUUCUAGCAGUGUGCCCUUUGCUCUGUGUAGGAUUUUUGAUCUCUGACAGCACACCAGCCAUUUAAAAUGGACUUGUUUGUGUGCUCUUCUGGUGAUGCUCUAGAUAGCUCUGAGAAGCUUUGUGGACAGUAGGACAUAAUCUGUUUUGGUAUUUGGGGAAGGCAUGUAAGAGUAGAAGCGUUUGAAUAUUUAGUUCCAAAGUAACUCAGGUAAUAGUCUGAUUGGAUUUCAGGUUUUCCUUUUAGGAUCUUUAAAGAGUUAAAAUUGCAAUCUUGGGACAAAGUAAAUGCAACACUUAUUUCACGUAAGUGCAAGAAAGACUGGCUGUGACCCUAAGAAAAUGGUACCGAAUAGUUUCUACAGUGACUUUAGUUCCCUUUACUCUGAUCAAAGUUAAUGGACGCUCAGUCAAGUUAAGUAGCAGUAUAAAUAAAGCUUUCUUGUUAGUGAUUUUUGUUUUUGACUCUAAGCUUUGACCUUCUCUCUAGUACUUGAGAAGGGUUGUAUUUACAUUGGUUUAAGGUUCUAGAAAGUGUAAGUUAACCAGUUGUUAGCAUUGUGUCUUGAGUAUGUUUGGGGACAUUCUUUCAUUUUUACUUUGUGUUUGUUUCUCCCUUGUCCUUGUUUUGUUAACAUAAUACUGAGGAUGGAAAUGCACAGUCUCAGUUACUGAACUAGUAUUUUUUUCUGGGCUUUUAGACAUUCAAGAGAAAAGUUGAUUAUUUGAUUUUGAUAAGUUUGGCUUAGGACCUGUCACAUUUUGUAUGUCUUUGGUCGAAGCUCUGGCAAUAGAAUACUACCAUAUGGAAAUGUUGGUUUGGCCCUACCACUUGGUGCAGUGCUUUGUGGCUUUGCAGGCAGUACUGUAGAGACCUGAAUCACAUAGUGGGCCUUCAUCACCCCUGGGCAGCUUCAUCCCUGGUGUUCUCCCACUGAACUAUACCCAGUAGCCCCAUGGAGUUUUAAUGUGUGGUGUGGCAGAGCAAUGCUACAUGUAGUUCAGUACACAGAAAUGGCAAAUUUUGUUAAGUGUGAGCUCAGGUCUUAGCUUUAGUGUGUGUACUGCGGUCAGUAGCUUCUCCCGUGCAUAGAAACGUGUAACAGUCACCUUGAUGUGCAGCACUCUUUAUGUCAGUGUAGGGAGGUAACAAUCUGAAGUCAUUGAAAGGUUCAAGUAGGAGAAGUGGCCCACUCAAACUCAAGGUAAUUUCACCACCAUUUUAUUCUUAUCAGAGAAGUUUCUCUCGUCCUGGAUAUUUUGCUGUAUUAUUAAAUUUUUCAUCUUCACUCGUGUGAGGAAUUAUAUUGUAUGAACCAGACAUCUAGGAUUGUUUAAGACUGGGAGCAAUAUUUUUUAAGUUACUUGUUUUAAAAAAUAGUGAAUUUCAUUGGAUAAAAUACCAUUAAUUGCAAGCAGCACUACUCAGAAAUGGAAAUGUUUCCAGUUAGACAUACCAAUGGCUGUAAAAUAAUUCCUGACUCUAGAGAUAUUCAGCAUUAAAAGGGUCAUACAAUCAAAGAAAGGGAAACUGAGUAAGUAGACAGUAGACAGUUUAUGGAACAUUCAUGACUGAGUGAACUUGCACACGUUCAUCGCCCAUCUGGUACGUGUCUACUCUGAGUAAAGGAUUUCAAGGGUAUUAUAUUUUCCUCACUGUGUAUUCAGAUGGGCAUGCUUGACCUUUGAACCAAGGGUAUUUAUAUUCAAUUAAAAUAUUUUUGCUGUACGUUAUGUGCCUUUAUAUUAGUAAGACAUUAUUUACUAGGUGCUGUGUUAUUAAAAUAAUCCAGCACCUUUUAGAUUUUUCCCUUUAUAAACAAGUAUUGUGAUUACAUACUGCAGAAAGAUGAGAACAGGUUUCUGUAAUUCAUUUUUAAGUCAGGCAGAUAAAACACUGAUUUAAUUACACAUAGAUGCUACAGGAUGGCAUAGGAUUCUGUUUUUUCUAAGUGUUUUUGCUGUGGAUUUUAUAUAAAAUAAUAGCAUCUUUUAAACCAUGUGAACUAUAGGCACCAAAAAUGUGAUGUUCAUGUCUAAAGAAAAAAUAUGUAAAUUUAAUGGAAGGUUAAAAGUUUGGUCUGGGACCGCUUUCUGAGGGUAGACUCCAGAAUCAGUAACACCAUGCUAUGACACGGGCACACGCAGAAAGUGAUGUGCAGGGUGAUGCUCACUGGGGCUCCCUGCUUUCUAGGCGAUUAGAUACAGAUAUGUGUGCAAAAGCUACAUAGACACACCUUCCUCAGUGCAUGUAUCUUUUGCUUAAUACCACCCACACAUUUCUAUUUCAGAUCUACACUGAUUAUAUUCCCUCCCCUCUCAUUUUUCAAUUAGGGUCAGUCUCUGUAGUUUAGGCUGACUUUGAACUCCCUCCUUUAUUCUUUCUAGUGGUGGGAUUACAAAUGCUUGUUAGCCACCGGACCCGGCUUACGCUCUUGUUUUCUUCUUAAAAUAUUCUAGUCUCAUAGAAUUUUUUUUUACUGCUAUAAGAAAACUGCGUUUCUGCCAGUUGAUGCUGGAGGGAAACUAAAAUGUAGAGAAGUCAUCAUAGUUUAAACUCAUGCUUUUAAAAAUGAACUAUUGCACCAAGAGAAGAAUGGAAAAGAAACCACGAAGUGACUACAAGAAGCAUUUCCUUUACUUGCACGUGCUUUUUAUAGGACAGUACAAGCUUUUACUUUAUUGAGUACUUGUUUUAAUGACGGCAGGAAGCUUUAGUGGACAAAAUUAUAAUAGUUAAAUUGGUUAGGAACUGGCAUCAGUGUUACCAAUAGGACUGCACCGAUGGGUUUUAUAUCAGGAGCUAACACAGAUCAGUGACUUCUCUAGAUAGGCUCCUGGCUUCGACCCUCCCUCUUCAAGCCCAUUUCCCCCCCUUACCCCCUUGUGCACUCACAGUUACCUUGCUCUGUUCUAAAACAUUGUCGAAGAUAGGUAACAAAGAACUUGAUUCUCUCCCCCCCACCCCACCCCCGCCUUUCUCUGUUUUUAUAUCAAAGGGGGAAGAGAGUGUAAUGGAGUAACUUAAAAUCAUAUAAAAUGUUAGCUGUUUCAUGUAGUACACAGAGACUAUAUUUGCAGACAGCCAGAUGCAUGGUUUAAUGGGUGGACACAUUGUGCCCUGAGGCAGUCUGCAAGGGAUGGAUACUAGGACCUUCCCUUCAGGUACCCAACUCUCCUGAAGCCUACUCUUGUAUCCUUCCAUGUAUGUUAAAUCAUCUCGAGGUUACUUUUCAUGCCUACUGUGACGUGAUGCAAGGUCGGCAGUUACUACACUUCAUCGUUAAGGGAAUAAUGACAAGCAAAAGAAUAUGUGUGUUCAAUAUGGAUUCUUCUGUGCUUUGUUUUGUUUUGUUUUGAAAUACUUUUCAUCUGAAAUUGAUUGACUCCACCAGGGCAGAAUUUCUGAACACGGGAUGAGUUCAUGUGCAUGCCCUUUGUCUCCUCCUUCCCUGUCUGUCACUGUUGUGUUGGCUCUUUUCCUUUCCUGGCAGCGGUGGUGGCUAUGGUGGAGCAGGUGGCACUGGCUUACAUUGAAAAUGGGUUGCCUUCCUUGUCCUGAUCUUCGGGCUAUUUCCAGCAUUUUACCUUAACUUACUGACUGUCUUAGAACAUAGUGACUCCUGGCCACUUAGGAGUCUGAAGCAGUAAGGUAUUGAGUUCAGCCACAUUCACAUAGUGAGUUCAUGUCUUUAAAACAACAGUAACAAAAACAGAUAAUAAGAAUUAUUGAAAUUUUUCUGUUUUGUGGGUGACAAGUUGAAGAGAAACUGGGGGUGGGGGGACACGACCAAAAAAACAACGACGUUGGAUCACUUUAAAAUAAUGCCUUUAGAAUAAUAACUUAAAAUGACUGGGCUUUAAACCUGGCCUUACCAAUUGCUUGAAUAUAUUUGGGCAAGCUACUGAAUCUGCUGUCCUUACUUUUUUGUAGCUAAACAGUCUUUAUUAUUGAAGAUACCCAUAGCUACACAGGAUGUAUAUACCUUGUUGGGAAGUAGAAUUAUCACGUUGUGGAUGUGAUGCAGUCUUAUGGCCACCCUGGAAAGGAGUCUUUGUAGUAUGUUUGUUUUGCUUAAGAGAAACUUAGGCCACAGAUACAGGUGGCUUCUUAAAGUCUCAUAGUUGCUCUUUGAGACCCUGGUACGUAAGUGCCCAAGCAGGUGUUUUGGACUUACGGUUGCCUUUGCCCUGAGCUUCCCCUCUGUGGUUGCGCUUGUACGCUGUUACUCCUCCUUUACAUGAUCUAAGGACUCUCUUUUUGAACUUCGUAGUUUUUAAGUUCAUGCAGUGAUAUAUUGGAAGGCAGGUUUACAUCGCAUUGAUACUAAAUAAGGUUUCAUUUAGAAAACACUUUGCUCACAAAUAAAAUGUGAAAACCCUUUUCCAUUUUCUUUUCCCCUUGAGGAUGCUUUGUAACGAGUGAGGGCUUCUUUACAGAUAUGCACUUGAGGGUAUAGUUUUGACAACUUAUAAAACUCAGCGUUUUAUGCAUUGUAUGUAUAAGAAAGAUUUAGUAAUCUUUUUUUUUUAAUAAAACCAUUUUAUAAAUAGUCUGGGGCUUAGAUUAAACAAAGUGAUUGUGAACGUAUAGUGUGUACAUUUAGAAAUACUAAUGUGUACUUGCCACUUCAGUUUACAGUGUCGAGGAUAGUCUGUGCUUUGUGAUGAUGCUUCAUCUGCAGUCAUUUUACCUUGAUACAUGACUGGAUUCUUCCAAGUGUUCAUGUUCUCAAGCUAGAUUCAUAUAAACGUAGUCUACAUCAUGUCGUGGUACCAUCUCCAGAGCCAUCAAACUAGUGACUAAAUAUUUGCCAUGUUACGCGCAGUCUUCCUGCAAAUACUCAUUUGUUAGGUAACGUGUUAUUUCUGCUAAUCUUAGCAAGUCUGGUCAUUUUGUUUAUGAUUGUUACAUGAAAUAAAAUGUUACUCUGGUUUGUUUUGAUAAUGGGUUGUUUCCUAUUUCACGGGGGUGGGGGUCAGUUUUUACAUUAGCUAUGGCAGUAGUAAAAUCUGGACUUGUCCUUUACAGUUUGGAAAGAUAGUUUAAUAUGUGUGGUGUGUAAACUAGAUCUUCCUUUGGACUUGAAUUUGGCUUUUGAAUAGAGUGGUAGCAUUACCAUUACUGAGACCCUCGCUGAGGACUGAGAGUCAUACUCAUACUUUACACGGAACCUCUUCUGAAUCUAUUACUUUCUCAGUGGAUAGCUCCAGUAGUCCAUGACUGUGUUAGUUUUCUCAUUACAGGCACGGAAUGGCUUGGAGGGGGAGGGGAGACGUUUUAAUCCCUUUUGGCAAGCAUUUUCCACAGUUUAUCUUGAGAAAUAGUCACUGAGGAGGAGACUCAGAUACCCUGUUCUUUUAAAAUGAGACAGUGCCCUCUUGCCCUAUGCCCUUGGCUUGCAUGGGGCUCCUCUCCCACCCAGGCUUUUCUGACAACUUCAAAACUGUGCUUUUCCAAAGCUGUAGCUCUUGCUUUUAGAAAUAUGGGUGUUAUGUCAGCAAAGCCCUGCUUCCGCCAAAGAUCUUGGAGACAAACCCUCCCUUGCAUCUUCAGGAAUUCCUGAACUGUCCUUGAGUUGCAAAUUCCUCAUGCUGGUGUCUGCUGUCUUCUCUCAUUUGUCUUUGCACCAUCUUCUUGUCAGUGCGUGUCUGGAAUCUUUUUGAUUCUUUUGAGACAGGGUUUCUCUGUAUAGCCUUGGUUGGCCUGAAACUCACUCUGAAGACCGGGUUGAACUCAGAGAUCUACCUGCCUUGGCUUCCAGAAUACUGGGAUUAAAGGCAUAUGCUGACACUGCCUGGCCAGAUUGUUUUCUUAGAAGGUCUGAGGUACCUCCGAAUAUUUUGAGGGACAAUAGCUAUCAUAGCCACGACAGCCUAAGACUAAACUGGGUAACUACAAUGCAUGUGAAUUGACCUCCUAGCAUAGUGGCAAGAGUGGGCACAGCAGAGGGACAGAGUCAGUAUAGAGCACCAUCGUCAAAUCACUGUGGCUUCUACAACAGUGAUUGCAAACUGUUAAACAGGAUAGUCCACACUGCCCACCUUUUCGGAAGAGUGUGAGAUGCCCAUACUUUCUCAUUAACACUUGGCCUAAUGGAAUGUGCAAGGAAAAUCCAGUAACAUUACUGCUAGAUCACAACAAGCAGCCACUGUGAAUUCUUCUUUCAUUAAAAAGUAGUUGAUGAACCUGCCGCCACCACCAGGUGUGUGCAGGGGUAGAAGGACCACUUUCCACCUCCUUGUGCUCUCUUGUACACCCCCCGUCCUUUUUCCUUCCCUUUACCUCCUUCCCUCUCUCUCUCCCUCUGUGUGUGUACCAUAUUACCUCUUUCCCCACAAGUUUGUUCUCCUGCCUUCUCUCCCCGCUCGCUCUCCUCUUUUGUCCCAGGCACCCCCUUUCUUUCCCUCCCUGCCCCUCUCUGCCCUCAUGGCUCACUCCCCUCUGUUCCCUCUCAAUAAUAGCAGGAUAAAAAAAGGUAGUGUAUGAACCAGAGCUCAGCUCAGCGGUGUGUAGUAUACGAAUAGCCCUGGGUAUGAUCCUCCAGCAUGAGAGGGAAGGAGGGUAGACCUGUAUGGGCGGAGCGGUUUUCAGGCUUCAUUAAAUAGUGCUCUUAAAACUGUUUGUUUUGAUUCACUUUGUCAUGUUAUCAAAAACAAAAAACACCAAAAACCAAAAAAAAAAAACCUGGCAAGUCUUAUGUUUUCUGGUUUUGGGUUUUUUUGUUUGUUUUUUGUUUCUGUACUGUAUGACCCCUUUGCUAUUUCAGUGGCUUAGUAGAAACAGGCUUUUAAAAAUACAGUGUAACCUUAAAACCCAUUUUUCACACAAUUGUCCGGCAAUACCAGAUUUUAAAAAAAUGCACAUAUGUCUGACUGAACUCUGAGUUAGAUGAGUAUGGAUGGAAAGGUCCAAACCCGAGUAGAUGUCGUAACAGUGACCCUUGUAGCUUUUACAGAGCGUGAAGUUGAGGACCCCCUGGGUGCGAUGUGAGGAGUGCUCAGGGCUUCCACACUGUGGCACCUACCAGGUCCAUCAUGGCCAGCGUGGCUGGGGUGCCACUGGGAAUUGUGACAACUAAGGAAUUAUGUAUGCAGAAUUAGGUGCUAGAACCAGAGUCAGAGAGGAAAUGGUGUUGCAUGGUUCUUGGGGUUCUGUAGGUUUCUGAAAGCAUUCUGUAUAUCUGAAUCCCAACUCUGUCCCAGGUGGAGAGUUUGACAUGGAGUGAUGGCCAUGUCUGAUGUCAGGGAGAGGGGUGCCUAGAGAGCCUCCUCCUUUUCUUCACUGUCUGAACCAUAUCCAGGUUCAGUCUCUUGAAUAAAUCAGUAUUGCUGAAUUUCUUAUCCAAUAAAGUGAGGAAAUCAGGUUUUUCAAGUAGCUUACCCCUACUCCAAGUGGUACUUGAAAAAGGUCGAUUCUUUUGAAAUUGAGAAAAACAAAGACUUUUUCCUUGAAUAUAUUCAUGCUUAAAAAGUUGUUAAUCCUGGAAAUAAAUUGUGUCAAUCACUUUAUUGGGUUGUGUCUGGCUCAUUAUAUUUAGAUAUUUGUUUAAAUUUCUGUUUUUGCCCCCAUCGUGUGAUACUGAGAGUUUGAGCAUAUUGUAAACACUUUCACCCUUAGAUGAGUAUCAGAGUUCAGAGUCUCAAAAGAGUCCUGUCUGGGGGAGAGAAAGGAAAUGACUGCCAGCCCAGAUCUGUAGUCCCUGGAGUACGGUUUACAAUCUGUCUAGCUUAACUCUGGAUCAAGUGAUUUAGUAACGUGCAGUUUGGGAAGACAGAGUAGAAGUCUUAGCCCCAUUGGCAUUGCAAAAUACCAAAAUUAGGCCAGGCUGUGGUGGCACAUACUUUUAAUCCCAGCACUUAAGGCAGGUGGGCCUGUGAUUUGGAGGCCAGCCUGGUCUACAUGGUAAGUUCCAGGAUAGCCAGGGCCUACACAAAAAUUCUAUCUUGAAAAACCAACACAAAUAAACAACAAAAAGAAAAAAAAAACAAUAAAAAACAAAAUUAUCUGUAUCUUCAGAUACGGUAGUCAUUUCCUUAUCAGAGAUAACAAGUAGGAAAGGAGAGGCCUAGGUUCUGAGGGAAGCUAAAGUUCGUCCCUUCAUCCGGAAAGCCAUAGCUGGAAAGGGGCGAUCCUGUGAGUGUCUUUUAUUGCUGCAUCAGAGGGACUGACAGAAGACCUCAAAUGCAGAAGAAUGGAUAGCCUGCCUGCCCAGUGCUCACAUUUCAAAGCCCAAGGGCAAAGAAAAUAGCACCAUUGCCAUUCCCAGAACAAUUCCAUCUAUGUGGUAGUAAAAGCAGGCAUGUAGUUGUGAGAAUUUGCAUGUGAAGGAACAACAGAUGAAGGUCAGCUGUGAACUGGGAACUCAACUAGCUUCCUGUUAACCAGUUUCCAGCUAACUUGAGGGUGCCACAUUACCAGGGGUGGAAGACGAAAGUUUUGUGUAGGUGCUUCCCACAUCGCCAGACAUCAAACGGAAAGGAUUUUAAAGGCAUAACCAGGUCUUGCAGGAUCACAUUGCUGGAAAUACAAGAUUGAGACAAGCAUUCUGCCUGCUCUUUAGUUCUACCACAUUUGCUUUGCUUUCCCUUUGGACAGUUCUCCAUUCCUUUUAUCCUUCUCUUGUAAAGCUUCAUUUGAUUGGCCUGGUGGACAAGGGUGAUGUCACAGAGCCUCUCUUUUUUAAAGCAGCGUCAAAUACCCACAAAAGCAACUUGAGCAGCCACCUAUUCUGACUGGGAUUGGUUGAGCCAGGUUUUCCAAUGCUCCCCCAUGGUAGAUGUUUCCUCUUUUUAGCAAUUUACAUUUUUUAACAUUUCAAAACAGUUCCUAACAAUAUAAUUCACAACUGGAAAUAGUUGUUCGUGUGCGCUUGCGCACAUGCACGGAAGGUUUAAUUGCUUCACCCUUCAUGAAGCCUUGCAGACUUUCUUUUUUUUAUAUAUAUUGCUAUCAUUGGUGUUCUCACAGGAAGUAGAUAGCUUACAGCCAAUAUUUUCUUUCCUUACAUCUCUGUUUAUGGAACUUGUUAGGACCCGGAAUGUUGAUGCCUAAUAUUUUCUUAUCAGGACCACCUCUAGUCUUUAGACAAGACUAAAAUUGCCCCUCUAACUCAAAUCCAAGACAACAGAGAGAAAGGGAGAGCAAGCCAGAGGCGUGGCUGUGCUUUCUAAAAGGUGUUAAUGGUAACAAGUGCAUAUAAAAGCAUUUUAAGUCAUUUUAUCUUACGUUGCUCUUUAAAAUUAUUGCCUAGUGUUCUUUAGACCCUCUAUAGUGUGGCUCAUUUUUGUGCAUUUCUUUCAGCCCUUUUCAGGCCAUUUGAGCCAAAUAUACCAAAGGUUGGUUGGAGACAGGGUUCUGAGAGAAGACUGAUCUCAGAGUGAAGGAGUGGUACAGCAGGGUACUGUCUUUGACUGCUUUGUAGUCAGUGCUCAAGAAAAAACCUACAUUUGAUGAUGUAUUGACCACUGUUAGAAUGGUGAAUUACUGGUGAAUUACAAAGGACUUUAUUUCAGUUAACCUGUGUGCAUAGAUAGGCGUGUCAUGAGAAAAAUGAUAGUUUUUGCCUUGUUGUACAUUUGGAAGGCAUAUACAAAGAGGAAGUUUCUUGUAAUUUCUUUUUAAGUUGUUAAAUGCUAGCUAGCAUCUAUCUAGUUGGUGAACCUGUCCUAGUCACCUCAUCCAUUCUGGGCCCUCUAGUGGUAAAAUGUAGCUAGUGACUGAGACAGUAUCUUGAAUGUUGCCUUGUGCCUCUAUAAUUAUUCACAUACCCUUCUCCUCUCCAAGCAGCGCAAAUACUGAGCAGAAUUGUUGAGACCCAAGCACCUUUGCUUCAGGCUGCCAGAGCUAAUCUUAACUUUCUUUUGUUAUGAUGAAGCAUCUUCAGACCCAGAGGAGGAACUCACUUUGAAGUGCCUUUUCCCUGUGACUUGUCACAGCAGAAAAACAGAAGUAAAAAAUCAUGAACUCAAGAAUGUUUAACAUUGCCAUGCCACCCAGAAUGGGAAAUUUUACUGUCUUGCAGACAAACACUAGGAACCAGGGCAUGCUUGCCUUCUACUGUAGCAGAUGCUAGGGAACUAGACCAAAAUACUGCUGCCAUAACCCAGCAGUUAUUUUUUUUCCAGGCAGCCAUCUUUCUCAUUUUUAUUUUUUGACAGUUUCAUGCAUUUAUAUAACGGAUCUUGGUCAUCUUUACCUAUCAUUACUCUCUUCUCACACUGCUCAGUCCUUCUGUUCUUCUCAAGUUUUCCCUCUUGUUUUUAUGUCCUGUUUUGUUGGGUUGGUGGUACAUUGAGUUUAGGGUUGCUUUCAUGAUCAAGGGUGGAAGGAGUUACUUACUGGAGCUUGGGCGCUUUACCAGUGGCUACAGCACUGAAGAAAAGGGAUGAAACAACCCACAGCCCAGCAGCUGUCAGCUGUCCGCUGUCCGCUAUACUUGUUUGUCACUGAUUAGAGCAUUAGGUCUGGAAUCUGUGCAUGAGCCUUCUCACUGGAACACUUUAUCAACACAUUCCAUGUUUUGGAAAAGUGGUCUCAGUGUGUUCCUUUAGUUUGCCUAUAGUUUAUUUUUUCCUUCUUUUAAGAUUUUAUCUAUUUAUGUAUAUGGGUGCCCUAUCUGCAUGUACACCUACAUGCCAGAAGAGGGCAUCAGAUCACAUACAUGGUUAUGAGCCACCCUGUGGUUGCUGAGAAUUGAACUCAGGACCUCUGGAAGAGCAACCAGUGCUCUUAACCACUGAGCCAGCUUUCCAGCUCCUGCUGGAAAAGUUUUGUAGUUCUUAAACUGUUGUGGGAUUUGUAAUAUACACAGUGAAAGUUCUUGCUUUUGCUGCUUUGAGAUAAGUGGCUCGCUCCUGGCUGCCCUGAGGUAUUUAGGAACAAAAACAGAAAUGUACACAUAUUUGUCAGCUCCUCUUCCCGAGGGUGGCAUGGCGUCAGAACUCCAAGUCUGAUCUUGUUUUUAGGUAUGGAUAGGGAGGAGUCCUUCUUCGGAGGUCUUAUAUGAAACAGUCAUACUUUCAUCUAUACCUCUUUAGGUAGAUGUUAGCCUUGUAGGUAAAAUCAUUAGAAGCAUGCCAACACAUAACUUUAGGACAUAGUUCGUUUUUCUUUAAAAAUGUCUUUUUGACCUUCCUGUAUUUAUGGAGGGGGCCAGGAGUCUCACUGCAUUCAAGGGUAUUGGUGUUAGAGGACAAAUUGCAUGAAUUGCUUCUCCCUUCCAUCAUUUAGGAGUCCUUAUCUGCUGAGCUGUGUCCACAGCCCCACAGUUUUUUUUUUUUUUAAUGUUAAACCUUAUUUUUUAAAAAAGGAAAUUUAUCUUUAUUGAAUAAGUUUAGAGAAAGAAAUUUUAUGAGGACACAGAAGUAAUCUGAGAGAAAAUGGAAUUGUGAUCGGCAUGCUAUUAUUAUUGCCAAAUGGAAAUAAACUAGUGAUAGAUGAGUACAAAGACUAUUUAUGAAAAGAGCAAAUGCUAUAUAGGAACUAAGUAGCAUCUCGCUUCUUUCUGAAAAUGAAGUUUCCAUGUUUAUUAGAUAGUGGUUGACCCAGAGAUGAGUGUCUGAUGUGGUUGAAAUACCCACAUAGAUUGACCUUGAAAUCACUGGGUAUGGCCUUACUAAAAACUUUUGAGUUCCCUCAGAGAUCGGUUCUGUCGUGUUUAUGAAAAGAAAGUAAAAGCAAACUUUGUCUGGGUCAGAACUUGACUGACCACAGGGCUCUGAAUUAAUCGUAGUACAAUAAAACAAUUCACUUAAUGUUGGCCCCAGAGUUUAAAUUGGUUCAGUAAUUUUUAGUAGCAGAUAGAUAAAAGGUUUUCUCUCAGUUUCAAACAUGAUUUAUAACUGAUUAGAAUACUCAUGCCAAGGCUGUUUUCCACAUUCCUUUGUUUUGAUUUGCGUACCUCUUAAGUUGUUUCUGAAUUAUGGACGAUAUUCACUUCCUUUGGAGCUAAGGCGCCAGACCUACCAUCUUUCUUGAGUAUAGUCAUUAUGUCAACAUAUUGACCUUCCGUUGGUUUUUCUACUCAGCUAGUAUGAGGGCCUGGUUGUCACUUUAUAGUUAACUUAUGGGUAAAACUGGUGGACUUUUUCUACAAUACUUAAUCUUGGACCAUUACAUACCAAAAGUCUUCGAGAUGCAUCUGAACGAUGUCAUACCAGUUGGACCCUAGAAUGUGGAGUAUUUAGCCUUUUCUCCUCUGAUUAGCAACAAGUGCUGCCAGUUCCACUUGAAUUUCUUUAGGAAGAAAAUCGGUGGCACAUCCAGACCCCUGUCCAGGGCUCAGUUCAGUGCAGAUGGCUGUGGCCCCAGAGAAGAGGGCUGAUACCAAGCGUGCUGCUCUGCAGCGGGAAAACCCAUCCCUGGACGUAUGCUUGCUCAGCUGAGAUGUGCUCAGCGGAGGACCUCCGCCACCUCUGUCUCUGCUGUAGAUGCUGUGUCAAGAUGCAUUGUUAGAGCUCCUCCAGAUACUGCAGGUCUGGUGACUGCACGUGGAGGUGGAUGGGUUAAGAUUGUGGACAAAGGACAAAGGAAAGAGGCUGUGCCUUGUGGGUCAGCACCCUGUAAUCUUUGAAAAGGUUCUCUGAAGACAUUUCCUCUGGGAAUACCGUCCUCCUCUCAUGAUCUUUUCUCACUUUUAUGACUGCCACAGCCUAAAUUGUAGCUUGACUUUGUAUAUUUUUAGCCUUAUUAGGAAAGGGGUGAGAUUGUUAAAACCAUAUACCAAAGGUUUAGGAUGUUCACAUGAAGUUUUUGGACAUAGAUCUGGUCACAGUUUCUUUCAUCAGUCACUUUUGAUGGCGUACAGUAUUUCAGCCUUUAGAGUCCCUUAGAACUAAGGUAUUUUCUAAAUACUGAGCACAAAUACUGAGAUGAAUUUCCAGGAGUAUGUAAAAAUUAGUAUGAUUUUUUCCCCCUAGGGCUGGAGAGAUGGCUCAGUAGUUAAUGGCACUGGCUGCUCUUUCAGAGGACCCAAGUUCAGUUACCAGCACCCAUGUGACAGCUGUCACUUCAGUCCCAGGGACGGACUCAGACUUUCAAGAGCAUAGCAUACAUGUACACAUGCAGGCAAAGCACCCACAUGCUUAAAAAUAACAUACUGUUCUUUUAAAAAGAAAACUGGUGAAUGGGAAGACAGACUAAAAGAAAAUACCCAGGAUAAAGCACCCAAAAUAGUACUAUAUUUAAGGGUAACACCCAAUUUAAAAAUAUCAAAGUUUUUUUCUAUCUUGUAACAGACUUCCGAGUUUUGAAUGGAGUAGAUGACCUUUGAGAUGAAACAUAGUAGUGUUCCUAUUGAAAACUUAAAAUUGUUUAUUCACGUUGGAAGUAAGACAAAUUCAAUACAUGCUUUUGUAAUGUGUUUGUAUGUGUGUGUUUAUAUACACACGUGCAGUCACAUGAGAAGAUGGUUCUCCUUAGACCUGGACACUUGAAGAUAAUCCCGUUCCUGAAACCAUCUCAAGGAUUUCAUGGGCCCAUGCAUAAGAGGAAAUGCAGCUGUGUGUAAGCUGGCGAGAGGAUUGUGUAUCGCACCUGGUUUUUCCACCAUUAGCUGCCUCCAUUCUGCCUAAACCAGAGGGAAAAUUUUUCACUAAUCACAAAACUCGCAAUUCAGUUGGAGCCAGUGGUUCUCCAAGGUACUUCCUAUUUUAUCCCUCCCCAUGCCUCGGCAUGGUGUGCCUUCCCCUUCCCCUUAGAACGGUGGUUCUCAAUCUUCCUGAUGCUGCGAGCCUUCAAUACAGUUCCUCAUGUGCUGACCCCAAACAUUUUCGUUACUGCAUCACAACUGAAAUUUGCUAUUGUUAAGAAUUGCAGUGUGAAUAUCUGAUGUGCAGGAUAUCUGGAUUGCAAACCACAGGGGUUGAGAAACACUGCCUCAGACCGUGAAGCCACUUAAAGACUGGUGCUUACAGUAGGCGUGUCACUCACUGCCUAGGCUUCUCUGCACCCCUGUCCUGUCUGCUCACAGCCCUGCAGCUCCUUCUUGUGUCUUCUUAACCCUUCACACUGUCUGUGAUGUCAUUUUUACACUAAUGUGCUAGUUUCUCACUUUUAUUUAAAACAAAAGUAAGACUUCUCAGGAAGACUUCCCUUUGCCUUCUGCUACCUUCCCAUUAUUAGUCUCUUUACUGUGUUAGAGACUGGUCUUUGGGAAGAGUGUUUUCAUGUGGGUGAGUUUCUGCACCCUCUUUUCAUCUCUCCUGUAGCUGGAGUCACCUUCUGACCACACCACUCUUCCCGUUGCUCCUUCUGGUGGUGCGUUGUCUCCUCCCCCAUCCCAACAACCAUUUCCCUCACUUCUGCUCUUGGCCAGCUCAGCAGCCUCUAAUGGUAGUAGCAACUUCCUCUUGCUUUCUGAACACUGCUUCUCUGGCUUUGGAUACUACCUCUCCUGGAUUUUCCAAGUCCCCUUUCCCACUUUCUCUCCGGUGUGGUUUCAUUGCUUCUCGUGCAUUUAUUUAGCAUAUCCAUGGCCACACCAUGAUGCCUAGGUUAGAAAAGUUUCUACGUGCCUGUGCCGUAGGCAGUGUAAGCUUUAUCUACAUGCCUCUCUCCUGGGUACCUAAGAGAUGUCCUCGAUUUUGUUUUGUUUUGUUUUGUUUUGUUUUUGAUAUCUCAUUUUAGCACCACAUUGAGAAAUUGAAACCUUAUCUUUUACCAGAUACACCUAAAUGCAUUCUAAUAGCCCUCACCAUCACUCAUUCUUUGUCUCUUUACUUGUCUGUCCCAAGGACUGCACCGCUGUCUGCAUACUGAGGAAUGCAUCCUCUUUCAUGUUUAGUAGAAUAUUUUUCUAGAAUCUCCCGAAACAACACCACCAUUGUCUUGGUUUGAGUUGAGCCAGGUCUUUGUGAUGCCUCAGUACUGUGUGGGAUUAAACACUUUAGUCCCAGACUCAUAAGAUUGAAGUGGGACUGAAUACGUGUAAUCAGAAUUGUUCCUCACAAGUGCAGCGUGUAUCGUCAGCGUUUUAUACAACCGGACACGAUUACCUGCCGAGACCGUCUCUGCCGUGAUGACCUCCCUGAUGGCAUCUGAGCUGCAGGACUGGCUAGGCUGUGUCUCCAGUGGCCAGCGCAGCUGAGAGUUAACAGCCGGAUCUGGCUGGCCAUUUCCAGGAUGCUCCCGGAGGUCCUCACCUCUGCAGAGCUGGCUGCUCUGCUCUCCCUGCUGCCCCUCACUUCUCAGACAUACCUCUUCUCAGUCCCUGGCAAGUUCCCAGCAAUUCUUGCUAACUUUUUUUUUCCCUCUUCCCCACCCCCUUCGUUCCACCUUGUGCCCUUUCAGAGUAGCACUCAGAUCUCCCAUCCUGCCUCAGUGCCUGGCUCCUUGUACACAUCUAAAAGUUUUGUUGAACAAACACAUGAACAUUUAAAAACAACAACAACCUGGAAUUACUUUUUUAAAAACAUUAAGAAAGAUUAGAAAAUUUAAGUCUUUGCUCCUAUGCAAAGCUUCAGCCAGGGACUUAAGCUUCCUUUGGAAGGAGGUUAAAAGCACGUAGUCCCCAGCUCCACACACACUUAUUUAAUAGAUUUUCCAAAGCUUGCAGGUGGCCUGUAGAACAUUGGGUAUGCAUAGGCAUGCCACAGCUAAUUUCUAGUUUUCCAAAAAGAUUUUUAAAACUUCAAACUCUGAUAUUUGGUAGAGAUUAAGGCACAGUUUUCACAAGUUUGCUUAGUGAUGAGUAAAAUAAAGGGAAGGGUAAAUUUAAUUCUGAUAGACAUUUUCAGUUCUCUUCCUCUUUAAAUGACGAUUAGCACAUGCUGUAUAACAGGAGAUCACUCUUUACCCGCAGUCCUCCAUGGUGUAAUUGUGUGGUCACCUAUGAUGCUACGUCCAUGGCAUGCACUGGGGAGACUGACCCUGUGGGUGUUUCUAUGUGGCCUGUAGAUCAGGUUUCAUCAGGUCUUAGUGUACCUUGAAUGCAUGAAAAGACAAAGCCAUGACUGACUUGCUAGGAAACUUAGGUGCCAGGUCUCAGCACACACAGCUUACUAGGUCAGUCUUCUGCACUUGAAAGUUAGCAUGCAAGGUCAAAGGCUUUUCUGUGGGAAAAACUUUUGUGUCAUAACUGACUGGCAGCAUUAAAGUCUCUGUUUAGAUAGUACACUUUUCUGAAAGUAAAAGCAUGUAAAAUGACAGGUUGUGUUUUGACGAGGCAUGGAGAUCUCCAAGCUCAUUUCCAGAUUCUUUGAGGCUGCUUGUAAGAUUUUAACCUUUAAACAUUCCACUUGAUCCUCAGAUUUGAAUGCCUGAUGGGUCAGAGCAUGAAUGGUAAAUCAUGUGUUUGUCAUACUGAAAAAAAAAAUGUGUCUUAGUGGCUCUCAGUCAGUGACAGUGUUUAGGAAGAUACGGUGGUGUUGACAGGACAGUGAAGCCUUUGAGGAGUUGAACUUUGCGUAGUUAACAGUCAGAAAGGGAUGUUAGGGUGGUGGAUACAGGAGAUGCAGUAUAGACUACACCAUUAGUUGCUGGAUUGAGGUAGAAGGUGGACGUUUGUUUCAUCUCAUUAAUCUCCUGUCUCAAGACCUUCAUCUGUGGAAACAGAGAGAGGGAACGUAUGCACUGUGGCUGUUCACGCAUAGAUGAAGGUGCAGGGCUCACAGUGUGUUUUCCUCCCCAUGUAAAAUGGGCCAUCCUGUCACUGCAGUUACAGGCCACCAAUGUCUUUCACCCCUACCUCCUGUUUCCUGCACUCUUCAUAUCCACAGACCCAGUGCUUGGAUUUGACAUUGCAUCCCUACAAUGCUGGAGAUCAAAUUUAUGCUUCUUUGAAUGUUCAUUUUAUUAUGCCCUUGCGUUAACUCCUGUGUUUUCUUUCCCUAUACAGAGCUUCUGGAACAUUAGUGGUGUGCCCUUUGACAGCUUGCUGUCUCUUUGUCUUCAAGAUCUGUCUGUGCAGUAUGGUAGCCGUUAGUCACGCAUGGCUGUUUAAGUUAUCGGUUAAGGCACACUGGCAAUGCUUAAAUGUUCUGUAAGUGCUUUUAGCUAUUGGGCAGCAGAGUACAGAGCUCCAGAAAGUUCUGCUUUGAAGCAGAGUUCAAGAAUAGUGAACUGUUUGUCAUAGAAAUUUUACAAUGCAAAAUUCUCUUUAACGUUGAUUUUUUACACAGCCCAUCACAAAGGAGUCACAGUGCUUUACAGUUUUUUUCCUCUUUAAAUAUGAACUCUGAGUUGUUAAUUUAAUUCACACUGUAUGAGUAUUAUUGAACUAUUGGAGGUUCAGAGCUGAGGAUUACAGGCCAGUGGCAGACUGCUUGUCCAGUGUCUUGGCAUUCGAUCCCGUGUAUCACAAUAAUAAACUUAAUGCAGUCUCGUUAUUUUUCAAACCUAAGACAAUGGAUGUUUUCAGGAAAUAUUUUUAGGCACAAAGAUAUUUCUGAUUAUAGAUAACAGUGUCUGAUGACGCAUUAGACUACUCGAGCACCACCCCUCUCCAUUCUAUGCCGCAUUUGCCAUUUGGCUUUUUAAGCAGCUUCGCCUAUGUUUCCCAGCUCCAGGGUGUUCGGUCAGGGUGUUGUAUCUUGCUGCUGCUGUUUGUUCUGACGUUCCCGCCCGGGUACACAGAUAUGCUGACAGUAACUUGAUGGGCCUGGCUUUGCCAGUAACAAAAGGUCGAGAGGUUAUAUGCAGAUUGCUGGUGGCAGCUUCAUACGACACUCAGUUGGGGAUUUUGGAGAGAUGGCUCAGCUGCUUAAGAGCACGUACUUCUUGCAGAGGACUUGAGUUCGAUUCUCAGCAUCUACAUCAGACUACAACCACUUGUAACUCCUGCCUCAAGAGAUCCAACACCCUCGUCUGGAUUCUGAGGGUACCUGCGCUCACAUUAUAUACACAAAAUUAAUUUUUUAAGUUAAAAAACAACUUGCCAAUGGUAGAAAUCAGUGUCCUCAUGUGCCAGUGUCUUUCCAGAGAGACUUCUAAAUAGUAAUUUCAUAAUCCUAAUUAUGAUAUUCCCUGCUUUUUGAUGUUGUGGUUGAGACUAAAUCAGGCUGAAUAUGUAAUUAAUAGUAUGUGUCACCAUGUUGCCCUGCGUCUGUGCGGUUUAGAAUCCAUGUUCUCUGUGUGGCAACACUAGCUCUAGUUACUACUGUUGUAAUUUUUCAGAAUGAUGGAGCUUCAGAUCAACACUGAAUAAAAGCAGAAUAACCCAAAUAUUUGUUUUGAACAGCUUAAGUUUUGAGGAUACCAUAGAGAUAAUUGGCCAUAUUUUUAUGUGAGUCAAAGCUUCGCUUGUGACAUCAACUCAUGGCCAUUCAGCUAAAAAGUAGGUUCAAAGGAAGGAUCUCAGAAAAUGAGUUCGGUAAUGCGAUGAAACACACUAAAAAAGUUUUACUUUGUAUAUAACGUUUACAGUUUAUACAUCUCCAAAGAAAUGUAGUGAUUAAAUUUGAACUCAGAGCAAGUAACUUCAUUUCUCCCCGCCUCCGGUUUGUUUUGAGACAGGAGGCCGCACCACCACAUCAUGCAAGAAUGUGCAUGGCGAAAAGGCCCGUCCUGUCUGGACGGAAGGCCUUUUAAGGGCAGCUGUGUGCCCAGCGGUCGGAGGCCAGCAGUAAACGGACUCAGGCUUCUUGAGAGGUCUCUCUGUCUCAUGAUACUGCUUUCAGCGCUUCUCUCCCUGUUUUUUAUUUAUGUAUUUUUCUUCUCUCUUUUUACCCUCUACACGUCCUUUGCAUAUAUAUUAUAGCUACCAGUCUAUAGCUACCAGUUUAGUUUUUUUUUUUUUUUUAAUGAGAUUCUUGAAUAUGAGAAUGUGGGUCUCUGCAUCAGUUUAUCGUGUCUUCUCUUGGGCUCUUUUCCUUCAUUUUGUCCAAUUCAGUUUUUGUUUUAUCUUAUUUAUUACUAUCCUUUAGACGCCUGUUUGUUUUCUAAGGAGAAAUGGAUUGAAUGGGAGGAACUGGAGGAAGUAGAGGAAGGGGAAACCAAAAUAAGGGUAUAUUAUGUGAGGGGAAAAAAAACAUUUUCAAUAAAAGUUAAAACAAAAUUAAAGCCUCAGUAAGAAAAAGCAGUAAAGCACGUUGUCAAGCCAGCUUCCUAUGAAGACCAGAAGCUGUUUAUCAGGGUCUGUUUGUGAAGGAAGGCAGAAAAGCUGGUGCAUAUACCUUGUAUCAUACCUGAAAGGCCAGUAGGUUAACUGAUAAUGUGUUGCCAUUACUUUUGCCAGCAGUAUAAUAUCAUAUUAGCAGAGGUUUUGAAAUGCAGGAGUAACUCUGCCAGGUCCCUCCCACCCCAUCCCAGAAAAGGACUCUGUGUUUUAGUCAGUAUUGCAGUAAUGUUUCCAGUUUUCUUGAGACUAUCAGUUUUCUUGAAAAAUGCUAUCAGGAUGGAAAAUUCAUGUCAGGUGAAUCAUUACCACGUUUUAAAAUAUGUUCUUUGUGUGCAUGUUUAGGGGUAAGCAUGCCACUGCCCGUGUGAGGAGGUCAGAGGACAACUUUCAGGGGUUAGUUCAUACCUUCUGCCUUAGAACUCCAGGGACUGAAUUCAGUUCAUCAGGUUUGGUGGUAGAUGUCUUUGCCCAGAGAUGGGGCCAUCUCUCUGGCCCCAGCAGCUUAGAAAAAUGUCUAAUACAAAGUCUCUUGAGAGUUGGGAGUCAUUAGAAUCCUUGAUGAAGACGGGUUGUCUUUAUCUUCAGGGUGUCUCUGCUUUCAAAGAUAGACAUCAAUACAGCUGCUGUCUAACAUUCCUGUCCGCCAGGUACUGGUCAGGGCAUCAUGGAAAUAACUGCAAAACUUCUUUUUUAAGGGUUUAGCUUAGUAGUGGAGGGCAGCGACAGUUCCUGGUAUAGUUCUGAUGUCCGCUGGUCACUCUAGUAUUGAUUAUGUCUUGGCUUGGAAUUUGCUGAUAACUAUAGAAAUUGGGAGAGCUGUUUAUCAAGCUAUAGUUCUGUUAUAUAGCCAUUCUGUUUGAGAGUCCGGGUUGGGAUGGAAACACUAGGAAAGUUUGCUUUGCUAAUGUUGUAGUCUUGAAAGACCUAGAACCUUGGGAGCCUGGAGGGAUAUACAUGGUGUGUGCGUGUGUGAGUGCAUGUUUGCGUGUGUACAUGCAUGCAUGUGUGUGUGUGUGUGUGUGUGUGUGUGAUAGGGUAUAGGGUAGCAGAACCUAAGAUUGAAUACAGCAAUUGCUUCAAAACUCUGGAGAGGUAAAGAUGCCAGAGGCUCUGAGGCAAGGAAGUAAGAUUUGGGCUGAGCCUUGUGGGGCUACCUAGAACACAGAGACAGUUGGGAGCAUCAGCCAGAGCAAAAGUAUAGCAUCAGAACCACGUCUUGAGGUUGAACACGAUUUGAGCCCCAUCUGAGUGCUGGCAGGCUCAUACUAAGAGGAAGGGGCACUGAGCUUGGGGGCUGGAGCCUGGGCAGUCAGCCUGUAGAAUUUCACUUGGAAAAUAUCUCACACCUCCAAGGUCAGAAUUCUACUGAGUGUGUGUGGGAGUUGUGAUCACGUUAAGACAAACGGACUUGCUUAAGAAUUCUGGCCAGGGCCUUGCAAGAUGCCUCAGCUAAUAAAAGGAGCUUGCCACCAACUCUGAUAACCUGAGUUCCACCCUGCAGACUAGCGUGGAAGGGAGAGUUAACUCCUCCAGGUUGUCCUUUGGCCUUCACAUAUGUGCACACCCUAGCGCGCGCGCACACACACACACACACACACACACAUACCAUUAAAAUGUAGUUUCACAAAAACAAGGCAGGCUUAGUUUCCUCAAGACCCAAUGGAGCUAAAAAUGUUGAGAGCCAGUGGAGGGCCAUCAGGUGUCUUAUGCAUAUACUAAGUUCCUGACUUGUAACUUCCUAUGGAAUUGUCAUCCUUAUAAAAAACAUUUGUUUCCUCCCAGCUUCUUUCUCAGUUGGGGUGUUUCCUAGUGUUCAUAUUGUGUGUAGUAUUUUAAUCCUCAAGUGGCAGCUGAAAGAACGUUAGAUCUACUGGUUUUUGAUACUAAUUUUGUACUAUUUCUUACUGUGUGUGUGUGUGCGUGUGCGUGUGCGUGUGUGUGCGUGUGCGUGUGCGUGUGCGUGUGUGUGCGCGCGCACACACACACAUGCACAUCCAUGAGAAGUUGUGUGGGCAGGUCACCUCACGUGGAGGUCAGAGGAAAACCUUGGGUGUUAGCACUUGCCUUUCACCCUGCUUAAGAUGGGAUUUGUGUCCCUGCUGCACAGGCCAGGCUCGCUGGCGCUCGAGCUUCUGGGAUUCCCCUGUUCCCUACACAUACUUCCCCGUAGGAGAACGCUGAGCUUUCAGGUGGGUCCCAGGGAUUUGAACUCGGGUCUUUUACAAAAGCACUGAGCCAUGUCCUCCAGCCCAGAGUCUUCCAGGCAGCCAGUCCUUGCUUUGUAGCAAAGCACAUAGGUCCCCAUGCUUAGCCCAGGAGUUGAAGUCAGCAAAGCAGGCUAGCCCGCAGUGUUUGCCAUUUUCUUUCUCUGUGCCAGCCUUGACCAGUUUUAAGAGUUAAGAGAUUUCUACUCCCUCUCAGGCUGCCCAUUUAAAACUCCCCUGCAAAAAUUAGACAUUAGACGCCUUCCUAGGGGAUGUCAUAAUGACCAUUGAAUGUGUUUUUACACCCUUGUUGUCCAUCCAGCUCUUUAAAGAAAAAAGGUCCAAACGAGAAUUACAGUUGCACAACAGAAUUGCAGUAGGAGGAGGAAGUUCUGCAUUGUGCAGGCAGGGUUUUGCUAACUAUAAGUUAUUCCUGGCUAGGGAUUCCUUGGCUCCAUUCUAGCUGCUUGGCCUUUGGAUAGUGUAAAUGCAAGAUCAGACAUUUACUAUUUUCCUACUUGUUUAACUGACAAGUAACAGAAUAAUGAACUUACUUUCACUUUAGUUGGGUUAGGAGUGAAUCCUAGAGAUGGUUUACUUCUGGCUGAAGCAUACGGUGUGAUACUGUCCACUCUGGUUUCUUGGUAAUAUUGAAACUAAAAUGCCUCUUUGUAAUGUGCUUUCCUCCUCAACAUCUAUGAAGGAAAGCCUGCUGUCGGCAGUGGGGGAGACCCAAAAGUAGGGGAAGCUGGGUGCUCACCCACAUUCAGAUAGCUCCAUAAGCCAGGAGUUGUAUUUGUUUCAAAGAGAGUGGAUGGGUUGUGGGUAGCCAUCUUGGCUGUCUCCUGCCUGAGAAAGCUCUUAAGAAUUUGUCCCCAUCCUCACCUUUUUUCCUAUGUUGCCUUCUAUGCCGAUUUUAUUUUAUUUUAUUUUCCUCCGAGACAGGGUUUCUCUGUAGCCCUGGCUGUCCUGGAGCUUGCUUUGUAGACCAGGCUUGUCUCAGACUCACAGAGAUCCACCUGCCUCUGCCUCCUGAGUGCUGGGGUUACAGGUGUGCAACACCACUAUCCUGCUCCAGCACCCGUGCUGGGCAGCUACCGACCACCUGUAAUUACAGCUGCAGAGGACCUGAUGCCCUCUUCUGGCAUCUUCAGGCAUUGCACACAGACAGACAACACUGCAGUAUAUACAUCCACAGAGUGAGCAACUGAGCAGGCGCCUGGUAGGUAGACUGUUAGAGUCCUCCAGUGUACCUCCACCCUUCCUAAGGGCCCGCCUCCCUUGCUCACUCACUUUGUUACUCCUGAGAAGGCCUUCAGAAACGCUGUUCCAAUGAAAAUCUAUGUCCUUUUGUUUUUUUCAAGUUGAGGAUAAGUAGCCUACAGUGAUGAGUUUCACAAAGAUGUUUUUACUCAAGGGUCACUUUCCGUUGACCUCUCCUUUGUCCAUUCCUGCUGCUUCGCUUCCUUUCCCCAGAUGGUCCUGUUUCAUUUUCCUGUAUGAUAGGAGGCUGAUAGAUCAUUGACAGGUGGGUAAGUAGAUGAUGGAAUAGACAUGUAAAUGGUAGAUCUAUAGAUGAUAGAUGACAGAUAGUUAGAUGAUAGAUACAGGUUGAUGGUAGGUAGAUGAUAGGCAGAUGAUGGGUAGGUAGACGGAUGGAUGGAUGGAUGGAUGGAUGGAUGGACAGAUGGACAUAGAUGGAUGACCUGUGAUACUUGCCCUGAGUCUGGCUUAUUUCACUGAGCUUGGUGAACGCUCUUCUCCCACCCCAGCCCUCAUGUCUGUGUCUACCCCUCCAGCAGCCACAACUACAGCUUCCCCGUGGUAUCUCUAUCUUGCUGCAGCUCCCUCCAGAUCAGCUCUGCUGGAGCUUCGUCCUGGGUAGCACAGCUGCCGUCUGAACACUUCUGAAAAGAAGAAAGUUAUAUUGUUUAAUCCUUAGCAUAUUUAGACUAAAUGAUGACCUUGAUUAUUUUUCCUUCCUUUCCAUGUCCUCCUUCUCUCUCUCCCUCUUAUCUCUCUCCUUCCUUCCUUCCAUCCAUCCUUCUUUCUUUGCCAUUUCUGUAGCUUGAGGACAAGUACUAAUAGUUGGUUCUUGUAGUAGCACUUGCCAAGUAGUGUCUAUCAUAGACAAGCUUUUGAAUGUUUGCAACAGAAAUUUCCACAGAUAAAAAAGUCAGACAGUGGUGGCACAUGCCUUUAAUCUCAGUACUCUGGAAGCAGAGGCAGGUGGAUUUUUAAGUUCCAGGACAGCUAGGGCUACACAGAGAAACCCUAUCUUGAAAUACCAACGGGAAUGGGGCUAGGGACUCAUUUUCCCCAGAGCUGAUUCCUAGAGUGUAGUAAUGCUUUGAAUGAAGUGAAAAGUACGAAAUGUUUAAGAAUUGUGACUAGACAAUCUUUUAGUGUAGUAAUGCUUUGAAUGAAAAGUACGAAAUGUUUAAGAAUUGUGACUAGACAAUCUUUUAUAAAAUAUCUUUCAUGAAGAUAUCUUCAUGAAAGGUUUAUUUUCUCUCAGGAACACUGGCAUUUUAUCACUUCAGUCUUUCAAUUGUUCUUCCAAAUUAGUCCUUGUUUUGACAAAUGAAUUUAUUAGAUUAAUUUGUUUGACCAGAAAAUACUAAAGACUAGACACCCAGCCUGUAUAUUUUGUUUUGAAACCUCUCAUGCUGAGCUUGUAAUGCUUCUCUUCCUCCUCGUUUUUCUUUUCCUUUGGAUAUUGAGAAAGGUGCACUCCCCCACCCCCAGUAUGUUUAGUAUCUCUAUGUGUGCGUGUGCAUGUGUGCACCAUGCCAUGAGCAUGGAUGUGGCGGCCACAGCAGAGCGUCAGGUGUCUUCCUCUGUGGCUUUCCACCUUACUGCCCUUCAGUUACACUGUCCAGCGGCAAGCUCUCUGGAUCCACCUGUCCCUCAAUAAUCCUGAGUCACUGGCAAGUGUAGUCAGACUUUUUUGUUUGUUUAAAUUUUUUUUUUAAUAUGGUUGCUUAGGAUUUGAACUCAUGUCCUUUUUCUUGCAGAGCAAGCUGUCCUGCCCACUGAGCUACCACCGUAGCCCUCAGGAUGUAUUGUCUGUUUUACCAGACACUUGUAUUCAAUUCAAGUGGUACCAUAAGCUACGAAUUAAUAACCACCUGGCCAGCCCCAUGCUGCAGGGACUGCGCACAUCUGUCUGCAUGCUUUCCCUACGGGCCAAGCCUGCAGUCACUCUGUGCGCUGUCAUGCUGUUCCACCCCCUGGUUAACCGUAAUUCCAUUAACCAACUGUCCCGGGGAUUGUUUUCGUCAUUUCCUGUUUUUCUCUUCCUUGUCGCCGCCUUAGGCAAAGUUUGAAGUGACGUUACUGUAUUUCUGGAUGUGUUCUCUCACGGCACUGCAGAGGCUUCAGUAUUUACAUGGAGUUCUUCACUGAAAGCCCACAGGGCGUAAAGCCCUGGACUCUUUCUGAAGGUUGGAGUUGGCUCUGUAGGAAGUUUUGUUCGUGGUGUCUGAUGUCAGCUUUGUGUAAGGAAAGCACUGUCCUGUAGAGUAGGAGGCUGGGAGGCAGAGCAGUCUCCUCCAUUCACCUCACCUUCGGCUGCGGAAAGCCUUUUGCCUUCCCCUCCCCGGUGCUGGGCUUACUGGUGUGAGCCAGCUCCUCUCACCACCAGGGUUUCCCUGCACGGCAAGAUGAUGAGUGAAGUCCUGGCAGCUUCCCGCGUCCCAGGCCUUGUAGAAAUAAAUGAGACAGACGAGCUUCAGAGUUCUAAUGCGCAUCACGCCGGAAGCAUUAAAAGGAGCCCCGCCGUUGCCUGUUGAGAAGGCUCCGUGCUCUCAGGCGUGGUUUCCGGUUGAAUCCAGAGGUUACAAGCAUGCCUCCCUGUAUUACCUGUCGGAGCAGGUUUAAUUUUAUAAAUUCUAGACACAAACUCUAUGAGUUUCUAGUUCAUAGUUGUUCUUUUUGAGGAUCCGCUCAGACGAACAGUAUUACAUCCGUAAGAGAUAACGCGCUCCCACUGCCCACAGCUGGGUGAGGAAUCACUGGCAACCAGCUCUACCAGUAGCAUCGUCCAGUGCAUGAUGGGAAGGACAGAGGGGGAGGAAGCCCUCCCCGGGAGAGUCAUACAGAUGGCCAGACCAUAAUGUUACUACACCAGCGAUUUUUUUUUUUUUUUCCUUGAACACGAUAGAUGUUUACUACUGUAAAGCCAUGUACAAAAGCCUGGCUGCGGCUUCGAUCCAUUGUCAUUUAGUUACUUCCUUGGACACUCAAAAAACACUAAAAGCUGUAAGCUUUCAUUUUUAAAUCCUUUUUUAAUGCAACUUUGAGACAAAUCCUGGGGUCAGCCUACCGUCCUGAACCCUUUGCUCCAACCUUCCUGUCCUGUCAUGCAGGCAGCAGGGAUGUGGGCGGAGAAGCCUUGGAGAGGAAGGGAAGCAGUGAUGAGCAGGCCUCCUGCAUGGUAGUCUACCACACGUCAUGAAUCAUUUCCCAGGAGCUUUUAAUUCAGGCAGAAGGCCAGACCUGAUUUCUGUUUUUGACAGCUACCACUGUUCACAUGAAACUUGGGGGAGGGGGACUCAAAAAUUCAAACAUGAGCACCGUUUAUGCCCAAAAGACUAUUUUCAAUCAUUCUUUUUGUUUGCUUUGUCAAAAAAAAAAUUAAAGUGCUUGGAAUUCUUUCUCUGUGGUCCCUUGGAAUGUAAUCAACGAGAACCUUACACCUCGCACAGUAUGCUCUCACUUUGGACAUUCAUAAUAAAAGCUGAAACUCA